rnacentral:rRNA from 1 species
AUGGGAACGCGAAGAACCUUACCUACUCUUGACAUCCAGAGAACUUAGCAGAGAUGCUUUGGUGCCGUUCGGGAACUCUGAGACAGGUGCUGCAUGGCUGUCGUCAGCUCGUGUUGUGAAAUGUUGGGUUAAGUCCCGCAACGAGCCGCAACCCUUAUCCUUUGUUGCCAGCGGUUCGGCCGGGAACUCAAAGGAGACUGCCAGUGAUAAACUGGAGGAAGGUGGGGAUGACGUCAAGUCAUCAUGGCCCUUACGAGUAGGGCUACACACGUGCUACAAUGGCGCAUACAAAGAGAAGCGACCUCGCGAGAGCAAAGCGGACCUCAAUAAAGUGCGUCGUAGUCCGGAUUGGAGUCUGCAACUCGACUCCAUGAAGUCGGAAUCGCUAGUAAUCGUGGAUCAG